rnacentral:misc_RNA from 1 species
AACUUGACGAAAAACGUGUACAGAUCCGAUUAGCAAAUCGUAAACAAAGUAAGCAAACAGGUUUGAGUUGACUAUUGAGGACAAUAAGAACACAUCUCCGAGUGAAACUGAUCAAAAUUGGCAGGUUGAUAUCAAAUCCCUGCAGGCCAUCUGUCAUCACAUUUCUGUUAAUUGAGUAGUCUGCCAUAAUGAAUGGCGAGUAAGCCUUACUAUAAACCACUCGGUCCGUGGGAAAUCUCACAAUUACCCCACGGUGAGCCCCCGCCUAACAUCCCGUCCAGGCCUCGAAUUACAUUUGUGGUUAUUCUUCUCUUGACUAUUUCACAACAGUCGUAGCACGAAUUCCUCGAAAAACGUUGCUAUCCAUACAAAGAAACACACAAGGUAUUACACAUUUAAUAUAACGGUUUCCCAACUCUUAGAAAAUGACGAAAUAGCCCUACAUGUAUCGACACAUAUUCACUUGCACGGGCACCUGCUAGUAGCUAGUUAAUUGACCUUCCAUAUAUGGCACAUUGUAUUUAGUGUUGUCAUAGAAAAGCCAAUCAGCGUCGACCGAUUCAAAAUUCAGGGGUCGCCGCCAACCAAUCAGAUUGGACUAUUUUGAAUGUAUUACAUUUCUUUGUUAUUUGGGUUGAGCAACCGAAAUUUACUACGGUAUAGUACUACAGGUAAAGGGACUCGUGUAUUCGCAACUUCCUGGAUAAUUUUGACGUUGCAAUAUAUUUCGGAAAUUGCCAAUUGGAAAAUUGACAGUGUUGGAAUCUUGCUCCAAUGAGGAAAACUCCGUAAUGUUAAGUAUGGCAUUCUGUAAUACAUCCGACAUGGAUUUUCUAGAUACAAUACCCAUGGCCAUGGAUUCUUCAUCGUACGACCUUCAAAACGAAGUUGACAAAAUUCUUCAAGGUUCCGACAAAUUCCAGGACUACAGUAUUCUUAACAACGACAGCAAUCACGGAAACUUUGAUUUCGAAACAAACAACCAAUCUGUUGACGAUUGGAUCCAGAAUAUACAAUGUCAGUGGAACGAUGUAGAUGUUGUUAAACUACAAAACAGUUUAUUGGACUCAUCUUUUGAGGUAGAAAAUAAUAACCCGAACUUACUAGUAAAUCCGCAAACUGGAUUACCAGUGAACCAUUUCUCUCCAAGAAAACAACUGUCAAGUUCGACAACUGUGAAAUCAGAGAGUGGACAGAGUUCAUUACUAGCAGAUAGUCCCCACUUUACAUUACAGACUGAUCACAACUUGAAUUGUGCAACUCGCGAAUCCAAUACCACUUCAUCCGAUCAGUCAAGAUUUUCAAAUGUAAAUAACAAUGCUCACAUUCAGCCAGUGAAAUCUGUACUAAGUUCUCCGUCCCACAAUUCUCCCGUCCUGGUCAACCACCUCCAACAAGGAUUAAAUGGUCGACAAGUCACUGUGACACAGAACAAUGUCAAAAAGUCUGUGACCGUCCUGAAAUCGGACAAUUCUGAUCGAGCAUUUCCAAAACCAGUUUAUUCCUACAGUUGCCUCAUUGCUAUGUCACUGAAGAACAGUAGAAAUGGGAGUCUUCCUGUUAGUGAAAUAUACACCUUCAUGACGGAACAUUUUCCAUACUUCAAAACGGCACCGGACGGUUGGAAGAAUUCUGUGAGACACAAUUUGUCCCUAAAUAAGUGCUUUGCCAAAGUAGAAACCCCGAAAGUGACUGGAAACAACAGCAAAAAGGGGUGUUUGUGGGCCCUCAACCCUGAUAAGGUUGAAAAAAUGGAAGAUGAAAUUGCGAAACACAGGAAGAAAGAUUUGGAUGCCAUCAGGAACAGUAUGGCUAUGCCAGAAAAAUUAGAACUGAUCGAGGCAGGAAAGGCAGGACCAGCGGGGAGUCGAUCUGAGGGAGAGAGGAUCUUGUCCCUGCCUGUAACAACGACACCCUCCACAACAACUGCCCGUGUGGUGAAAAUAUCCACCCCAGUGGACUCCUCAAUAAAACAGGAGGAUUACCUCCAUAGUAUAGUGCUGGACGGGAGUUUGUCUUUGGACAACCCCCUACCCGACCUAACAUUACAGAAUGGUAUUUGGGAUGACCUGUCAACAGACAUGGAAUUACCACUGACUACAUCCUCCACACUUUCGCUCAAUGCCUCGCCCCUAACAAUCCAGUCUGUGGUUUCUUUAGCUGGAGUUUCCGGAGCCUUUCAAGGUCAGUUCACAUGCUCAUCGAGUCCCAUGUUAACUCUUACCCAGAAUGCAACAGUAGCUCCAGCUUGUCGCACGCCGUCCAAGAUCCUCGAAGCUCAGAUCUAGUCAGGGAAAGACACUACCAUGGUCAUCUGAAAUUUGCCAUGGUUACAAGGGGAAGGGUUAAAUAGAUAAAGUCACAGACAUCUACAAUUGACCAAGUUAUCAACACUGCCAAGGCGAUCUACUAUAGGCCGAGUGAUCAACACUGCAAAGGUCAUCUAUGUUUGGCCAGGUGAUCAACACUGCAAAGGUCAUCUAUGUUUGGCCAGGUGAUCAGCACUGCAAAGGUCAUCUAUGUUUGGCCAGGUGAUCAACACUGCAAAGGUCAUCUAUGUUUGGCCAAGUGAUCAACACUGCAAAAGGUCAUCUAUGAUUUGCCAGGUGAUCAACACUGCAAAGGUCAUCUAUGAUUGGCCAGGUGAUCAACACUGCAAAGGUCAUCUAUGAUUGGUCAAGGCCACAGGGGGGAGGGAAUAUUGUUGAAUUAACAUUCCAUUGUAUAUCAUAAUGUUGCCUGUCUGAGUGUGGGUCCGUAGGACAGAAAAUUGGUUAUGUACGUAACAUCCAUUCUUAAAUUAAUUCAUUGAUUCGUAUCAUCCAAGAUGUUAGGAAAAAUGAAAUAAUUUCAGUUGAAAAAUAUUAAGAAAACAAUUUAUCCUAGCUUUACCAAUGUAAUGUAAUACCUUCUAAACAGAGCAAUCAUUUUAGCUUAAUAUAUAGUCCUGAUAUUUAUGGAGAAAUAUUUCAUCGGAAAAAGAUACAAUUUCAUAAUUAAUGUAGGGAAACAGAGGUAUAAAUGGCAUAAAAUUUUGUAAGAAAACAAAAUCUUCACUUGAUCAUUCCAAGUAAGAGAGUGAUCCUUUUUUUUUACUUUUAUAUCAUUGAUUGAUGUACUGAUUCCUAUUUGUGCAAAAGUGAAGAGUAAAAUUGUACAAAAAAUAAUUCUCUAGCCACUGAAAUUUCUGAAUGAACUUGCGUGUUCUUUCAAUUAAACAUUAACUUUGUUGAUCUCAUAACUAAACAGAAUUCUUUUGUGCUGUCAGACUUAUGAAUUGAUUUUCUAUUGAUGUUGUUAAAGUGUUCUUGUUGACUUAUAUAAAAUUUAUUUAUGAUACUAGAAAAUGUAAAUAAGCUAGAGUUUUGAUCUCGUAGAAGCCAUGGUUGCUAGAACCAGGUGAAGAAAAAGUUUAGAAAAUUGAUUAUUGUAUUUAAAAGAAGUUUUAUUUUAAAAGUUUUCAUUGUCAUGGGAAAGUUUUGAUUUCUUUUUGAAGAAAAUCCACAUUUUAAAUGUAAAUUUCUAAAAAGUUUCUUAAAAAAUUAUCUUUGAUGGUUUUUUUCUUUAAAUGUGGAUUUGAUUACCAAAAGAAAGAAAAACAUUAUACAACAUAUAAGAUUACUGUUUUAAAGUCCUUUGUGUGAAUAAAUAUUUGUCAGACGUUUAAAUUUGCGAUAUACUGUCCUUGCAAAUUAAUAUGAAAAUAUAUAUGUUAUAAAAUCUGAAUGAUAAGCAAUACUUGGUUUGGCUUUAUAUUUUUACUGAUAUCUUUGUUCUAUAAACCAUGGCUAUUUCCCUCCUAUCUUACAUCAUCCAGAUUGGUGCAUUUUGAUUUUGUCUUUUGUUGACAUUGACAUUGUUUAUUUGUUUAUUGUGUUUCUACUGUAUUACUCAGAUAUAAACAAAUGUAUACACAUAUAAAAUUCUCUCAGUUAAUGUGGUUGCAAAUGAAAUAACAAUUAAAAUUAUCCCCUAGUCCAUACCUCUCAAAACAGUCCAAUGGAAUGUAUACAAUUCAAAUUUUGGUUGGAUGGGGGUUCAGAUUUUAUUGUUGUGUUUUAUUUUAACUUCUAAAGAUCUUUUGAAGAACUGGCCGAAAAACAAAAAAUUGAAGAAAAAAAUAUCUUUAAUAUAUUGCAUAGAUAUUUUUCUCUUGUUGAACAAAUUCUCAAUGGCAAGCAGAUUAUAGUAGUUUGACUAGUGUUAUAUAUUGUUAGUGCCACCUGUGUUCAGAACUUAGAGAAUUUUUACAGUUAUCAGUGUAUUUUAGGAUAGUGUGUCCGAGAAUGUCAAACUGGACAAAUUUCAUAGAAAGGCAAUUUCUAAGACCGUAUUCACCAUAAUAGGAGAACCACUUGCCUACGAGCACUAAUCUUCAGCAUCUACUUUUAACAGAAAAUACCAUGCUACCAGUAACCUGAAGGUAUUUUAGGUUUACACUGACCAUUUGUAUAUAUAACUUGUCAGGGGGCAUAGCUCGUGUAGUACGUUGCCUACAGUUGCCAAAUUUUGUAUACAAGUACCUCUGUGGAAGGUGAAGUGUUAAACAUUGAAAUAUUGUAUUGUGCUCCACUUAAUACUGAUUUCUGGCCCUUCGUUCAUUUUGAUAUCAAAAUUUGUCUGAUGGAGAGGAAUAUGGAUUGAUUGCACUACUCCAGAUUGUGGCCAUCUAGUACUGAAGUUGACAACUUCACAGUGUUGGGUAAUGCCAUCUAUCAUUUUAUUAAGAUGAAAAAAGCAUGUCUCAAAUUCCAGGGGAAAACUUAAUAAUGAAUCUUGAAUGGCAAUUCAAAACACAAACAAUUUUGAAGCAUCUUAACACCUCGUCCCAUAUCCCAUCAAUUUCUCAGGCAAGUGCACCUAUUAUGGUGAAUAUGGUCCUUGACAAAUAAAAGAUAAUUUGACAAAUACAUAUUUUUAGUGCAUGUUUAUCAGCCUGUGUGUGUCUAUGGGGUGUUAGUGUGGUAAUCCAAAAAUGUGAUGCCCUACAUAAAAAAAGAUAUUCCACACAAAUUAUCACAUAAAUAUAUUAAUGUACAAAUUUAAAUUUUGAUAUUGGUAUAU